CCUCUAUUUCUUGGCAUACAGGGCGUUGGCUGUACCCCUGCGUGUAAUGUACGGAGGUAGAUGAUACCCGGUGCUAUGUCUUCGGUGCCUGCUCUUACCUGGGCUGGUUCUAUCCUCAAUCACCGGGACAAGU